rnacentral:rRNA from 1 species
GAUGAACGCUCGCGGCAGGCCUAACACAUGCAAGUCGAGGGAGAAGCCCUUUCGGGGGCAGAAACCGGCGCACGGGUGCGUAACGCGUAUGCAACCUACCUUUCACAGGGGGAUAGCCCGAAGAAAUUUGGAUUAAUACCCCAUAAUAUUAUUGGAUGGCAUCAUUUGAUAAUUAAAACUGCGGUGGUGAAAGAUGGGCAUGCGUCCUAUUAGCUAGUUGGAGUGGUAACGGCACCCCAAGGCUACGAUAGGUAGGGGUCCUGAGAGGGAGAUCCCCCACACUGGUACUGAGACAGGGACCAGACUCCUACGGGAGGCAGCAGUGAGGAAGAUUGGUCAAGGGUCGGAAGACUGAACCAGCCAUGCCGCGUGCAGGAAGAAUGCCUUAUGGGCUGUAAACUGCUUUUAUAUGGGAAGAAUAAGGCGUACGUGUACGUUGAUGACGGUACCAUAUGAAUAAGCAUCGGCUAACUCCGUG